GUGCCGGCAGCCGCGGUAAUACGGGGGGUGCAAGCGUUAAUCAGAAUUACUGGGCGUAAAGAGCUCGUAGGCGGUUUUUUAAGUCAGAUGUGAAAUCCCUGGGCUUAACCUAGGAACUGCAUUUGAAACUGAAAAACUAGAGUAUCGUAGAGGGAGGUAGAAUUCUAGGUGUAGCGGUGAAAUGCGUAGAUAUCUGGAGGAAUACCUGUGGCGAAAGCGGCCUCCUAGACGAAUACUGACGCUGAGGUGCGAAAGCGUGGGGAGCAAACAGGAUUAGAUACCCUUGUAGUCC
rnacentral:rRNA from 1 species